GACCAUUAUUAGUCUAAUAAAAUAUGCAUCUAGGACAAUCCAUCAGUGUUUUUUUUUUCUUUUGAGGGCCUUAUUACCAUGCCAAUGGUAGGACAUGAAUCAUGUAUAAAUGACUAAGGAUAAUUUGAGGGGUGAUCGGAGGGGUCCUGAUCCCGAAAUCCCGGGCUUAAAACCAUGAAAUCCCGAGAUGCAGAAUUUAAAGAAAUGCAUAUCCCGAAAUCCCGAAAUCGAAAAAUAUAUUCCUGGAUCCCGUAAGGAUCAAUCCCCAAAUCCCGAGCUUAAAAACAACCGAUCCCG
rnacentral:lncRNA from 1 species